rnacentral:rRNA from 1 species
AGCAGCCGCGGUAAUUCCAGCUCCAAUAGCGUAUAUUAAAGUUGUUGCAGUUAAAAAGCUCGUAGUUGAAUUUCGGGAUCAAUACGUCGGUCGUGCUCCGGUACGUACUGGCGUCAUUGAUUUCUCCCUUCUGACGAACCACGAUGUCAUUAACUUGGUGUCAUGGGAAAUCAGGACUGUUACUUUGAAAAAAUUAGAGUGUUUAAAGCAGGCUCACGCUUGAAUACAUUAGCAUGGAAUAAUGAAAUAGGACGUUCGAUCCUAUUUUGUUGGUUUCUAGGAUUGACGUAAUGAUUAAUAGGGAUAGUUGGGGGCAUUAGUAUUCAAUUGUCAGAGGUGAAAUUCUUGGAUUUAUUGAAGACUAACUACUGCGAAAGCAUUUGCCAAGGAUGUUUUCAUUAAUCAAGAACGAAAGUUAGGGGAUCGAAGACGAUCAGAUACCGUCGUAGUCUUAACCAUAAACUAUGCCGACUAGGGAUCGGAUGAUGUUAAUUUUUUAAUGACUCAUUCGGCGCCUUACG